rnacentral:lncRNA from 1 species
GGUGGGUAGAGCAAGGAGGCACUUAUCAUUAGGCAUGCCGCCGAAAACUUACAGGAUCCAUUUGCCAUGUGACUAGUCCAAAUUUUUCUAAAUGGGUCUUUUACAUCUGUGUCCCUAACUCGAACCUACUACUCAUAUUUGCCCUUAAUUUCGAAGCAUGCUCAAAUUUACCCCUCUGCCGUUAGUUCACCUUAUAAAAAUGCCCUGCCGUUCCGUUACCGUCCGGUCAAAGGGCUUUGACCGUCUACGGGGCAUUUAUCGGACAUUUUGCCCCUGCCUCCAUGUAUCACUUACAUGUGGGACCCGCUCAACAAAAAAUAAAAAUAAAAAACUCUUUCUCCCACCCCACUACGGAGUGCAACUGAGGGAUUCAAGGAACAGGCGCGAGCGGUGGCACGGUUUCAUCACAGCGCCAUAGUUUUGCUCCCCUCUCUUCUCUGCACGUCUAUGCACCCACGGUAGCAAGGUCCUUCCAGCGAUCCUCUCCAUUUAUCUUUGUUUCCGCGAAGGUUUGUGGGGUGGUUGUGGUGUUUUCUGUUCCCAUGAUUUUUUGACUACUUAAAGUGUGUGGUUGGGAUUGUUGCGAUCAGUUUUGAACGCUGAUGGUGCUCAAUUCAUGCGGACGAGAUGGUAGUUUUCGAUGUUGUUAGUCGAUUAUGACUGGAUGGGAGGCGCCCGUGGUGAUUGUUUCUGUUCAUUUGAGCACUGAAACGAGCCGAUGAUGUUUGGGUAUCGAUGGGAGCACAUAGGAUGUGUGCUGGUUUGGCAUGCUCGACCGGAGGAGUAUUGUUGAUUGAAGAGGGGGGCGGCGGGGACUAGAGACGACGGGGGAUAUCACGAANNNNNNNNNNNNNNNNNNNNNNNNNNNNNNNNNNNNNNNNNNNNNNNNNNNNNNNNNNNNNNNNNNNNNNNNNNNNNNNNNNNNNNNNNNNNNNNNNNNNNNNNNNNNNNNNNNNNNNNNNNNNNNNNNNNNNNNNNNNNNNNNNNNNNNNNNNNNNNNNNNNNNNNNNNNNNNNNNNNNNNNNNNNNNNNNNNNNNNNNNNNNNNNNNNNNNNNNNNNNNNNNNNNNNNNNNNNNNNNNNCCGAAAACUUACAGGAUCCAUUUGCCAUGUGACUAGUCCAAAUUUUUCUAAAUGGGUCUUUUACAUCUGUGUCCCUAAGUCGAACCUACUACUCAUAUUUGCCCUUAAUUUCGAAGCAUGCUCAAAUUUACCCCUGUGCCGUUAGUUCACCUUAUAAAAAUGCCCUUCCGUUCCGUUACCGUCCGGUCAAAGGGCUUUGACCGUCUACGGGGCAUUUAUCGGACAUUUUGCCCCUGCCUCCAUGUAUCACUUACAUGUGGGACCCGCUCAACAAAAAAUAAAAAUAAAAAACUCUUUCUCUCACCCCACUACGGAGUGCAACGGAGGGAUUCAAGGAACAGGCGCGAGCGGUGGCACGGUUUCAUCACAGCGCCAUAGUUUUGCUCCCCUCUCUUCUCUGCACGUCUAUGCACCCACGGUAGCAAGGUCCUUCCAGCGAUCCUCUCGAUUUAUUUUAUUUUCCGCGAAGGUUUGUGGGGUGGUUGUGGUGUUUUCUGUUCCCAUGAUUUUUUGACUACUUAAAGUGUGUGGUUGGGAUUGUUGCGAUCAGUUUUGAACGCUGAUGGUGCUCAAUUCAUGCGGACGAGAUGGUAGUUUUCGAUGUUGUUAGUCGAUUAUGACUGGAUGGGAGGCGCCCGUGGUGAUUGUUUUUGUUCAUUUGAGCACUGAAACGAGCCGAUGAUGUUUGGGUAUCGAUGGAAGCACAUAGGAUGUGUGCUGGUUUGGCAUGCUCGACCGGAGGAGUAUUGUUGAUUGAAGAAAGGGGGCGGCGGGGACUAGAGACGACGGGGGAUAUCAUGAACAUUUAGGGUGGGUGGGUGGGUAGAGCAAGGAGGCACUUAUCAUUAGGCAUGCCGCCGAAAACUUACAGGAUCCAUUUGCCAUGUGACUAGUCCAAAUUUUUCUAAAUGGGUCUUUUACAUCUGUGUCCCUAACUCGAACCUACUACUCAUAUUUGCCCUUAAUUUCGAAGCAUGCUCAAAUUUACCCCUGUGCCGUUAGUUCACCUUAUAAAAAUGCCCUUCCGAUCCGUUACCGCCUGGUCAAAGGGCUUUGACCGUCUACGGGGCAUUUAUCAGACAUUUUGCCCCUGCCUCCAUGUAUCACUUACAUGUGGGACCCGCUCAACAAAAAAUAAAAAUAAAAAACUCUUUCUCUCACCCCACUACGGAGUGCAACGGAGGGAUUCAAGGAACAGGCGCGAGCGGUGGCACGGUUUCAUCACAGCGCCAUAGUUUUGCUCCCCUCUCUUCUCUGCACGUCUAUGCACCCACGGUAGCAAGGUCCUUCCAGCGAUCCUCUCCAUUUAUUUUUGUUUCCGCGAAGGUUUGUGGGGUGGUUGUGGUGUUUUCUGUUCCCAUGAUUUUUUGACUACUUAAAGUGUGUGGUUGGGAUUGUUGCGAUCAGUUUUGAACGCUGAUGAUGCCCAAUUCAUGCGGACGAGAUGGUAGUUUUCGAUGUUGUUAGUCGAUUAUGACUGGAUGGGAGGCGCCCGUGGUGAUUGUUUUUGUUCAUUUGAGCACUGAAACGAGCCGAUGAUGUUUGGGUAUCGAUGGGAGCACAUAGGAUGUGUGCUGGUUUGGCAUGCUCGACCGGAGGAGUAUUGUUGAUUGAAGAAGGGGGGCGGCGAGGACUAGAGACGACGGGGGAUAUCAUGAACAUUUAGGGUGGGUGGGUGGGUAGAGCAAGGAGGCACUUAUCAUUAGGCAUGCCGCCGAAAACUUACAGGAUCCAUUUGCCAUGUGACUAGUCCAAAUUUUUCUAAAUGGGUCUUUUACAUCUGUGUCCCUAACUCGAACCUACUACUCAUAUUUGCCCUUAAUUUCGAAGCAUGCUCAAAUUUACCCCUGUGCCGUUAGUUCACCUUAUAAAACUGCCCUUCCGUUCCGUUACCGUCCGGUCAAAGGGCUUUGACCGUCUACGGGGCAUUUAUCGGACAUUUUGCCCCUGCCUCCAUGUAUCACUUACAUGUGGGACCCGCUCAACAAAAAAUAAAAAUAAAAAACUCUUUCUCUCACCCCACUACGGAGUGCAACGGAGGGAUUCAAGGAACAGGCGCGAGCGGUGGCACGGUUUCAUCACAGCGCCAUAGUUUUGCUCCCCUCUCUUCUCUGCACGUCUAUGCACCCACGGUAGCAAGGUCCUUCCAGCGAUCCUCUCCAUUUAUUUUUGUUUCCGCGAAGGUUUGUGGGGUGGUUGUGGUGUUUUCUGUUCCCAUGAUUUUUUGACUACUUAAAGUGUCUGGUAGGGAUUGUUGCGAUCAGUUUUGAACGCUGAUGGUGCUCAAUUCAUGCGGACGAGAUGGUAGUUUUCGAUGUUGUUAGUCGAUUAUGACUGGAUGGGAGGCGCCCGUGGUGAUUGUUUUUGUUCAUUUGAGCACUGAAACGAGCCGAUGAUGUUUGGGUAUCGAUGGGAGCACAUAGGAUGUGUGCUGGUUUGGCAUGCUCGACCGGAGGAGUAUUGUUGAUUGAAGANNNNNNNNNNNNNNNNNNNNNNNNNNNNNNNNNNNNNNNNNNNNNNNAUGGGAGGCGCCCGUGGUGAUUGUUUUUGUUCAUUUGAGCACUGAAACGAGCCGAUGAUGUUUGGGUAUCGAUGGGAGCACAUAGGAUGUGUGCUGGUUUGGCAUGCUUGACCGGAGGAGUAUUGUUGAUUGAAGAAGGGGGGCGGCGGGGACUAGAGACGACGGGGGAUAUCAUGAAGAUUUAGGGUGGGUGGGUGGGUAGAGCAAGGAGGCACUUAUCAUUAGGCAUGCCGCCGAAAACUUACAGGAUCCAUUUGCCAUGUGACUAGUCCAAAUUUUUCUAAAUGGGUCUUUUACAUCUUUGUCCCUAACUCGAACCUACUACUCAUAUUUGCCCUUAAUUUCGAAGCAUGCUCAAAUUUACCCCUGUGCCGUUAGUUUACCUUGUAAAAAUGCCCUUCCGUUCCGUUACCGUCCGGUCAAAGGGCUUUGACCGUCUAUGGGGCAUUUAUCGGACAUUUUGCCCCUGCCUCCAUGUAUCACUUACAUGUGGGACCCGCUCAACAAAAAAUAAAAAUAAAAAACUCUUUCUCUCACCCCACUACGGAGUGCAACGGAGGGAUUCAAGGAACAGGCGCGAGCGGUGGCACGGUUUCAUCACAGCGCCAUAGUUUUGCUCCCUUCUCUUCUCUGCACGUCUAUGCACCCACGGUAGCAAGGUCCUUCUAGCGAUCCUCUCCAUUUAUUUUUGUUUCCGCGAAGGUUUGUGGGGUGGUUGUGGUGUUUUCUGUUCCCAUGAUUUUUUGACUACUUAAAGUGUGUGGUAGGGAUUGUUGCGAUCAGUUUUGAACGCUGAUGGUGCUCAAUUCAUGCGGACGAGAUGGUAGUUUUCGAUGUUGUUAGUCGAUUAUGACUGGAUGGGAGGCGCCCGUGGUGAUUGUUUUUGUUCAUUUGAGCACUGAAACGAGCCGAUGAUGUUUGGGUAUCGAUGGGAGCACAUAGGAUGUGUGCUGGUUUGGCAUGCUCGACCGGAGGAGUAUUGUUGAUUGAAGAAGGGGGGCGGCGGGGACUAGAGACGACGGGGGAUAUCAUGAACAUUUAGGGGGGGGGAGGGGGGGUGGGUGGGUAGAGCAAGGAGGCACUUAUCAUUAGGCAUGCCGCCGAAAACUUACAGGAUCCAUUUGCCAUGUGACUAGUCCAAAUUUUUCUAAAUGGGUCUUUUACAUCUGUGUCCCUAACUCGAACCUACUACUCAUAUUUGCCCUUAAUUUCGAAGCAUGCUCAAAUUUACCCCUGUGCCGUUAGUUUACCUUAUAAAAAUGCCCUUCCGUUCCGUUACCGUCCGGUCAAAGGGCUUUGACCGUCUACGGGGCAUUUAUCGGACAUUUUGCCCCUGCCUCCAUGUAUCACUUACAUGUGGGACCCGCUCAACAAAAAAUAAAAAUAAAAAACUCUUUCUCCCACCCCACUACGGAGUGCAACUGAGGGAUUCAAGGAACAGGCGCGAGCGGUGGCACGGUUUCAUCACAGCGCCAUAGUUUUGCUCCCAUCUCUUCUCUGCACGUCUAUGCACCCACGGUAGCAAGGUCCUUCCAGCGAUCCUCUCCAUUUAUCUUUGUUUCCGCGAAGGUUUGUGGGGUGGUUGUGGUGUUUUCUGUUCCCAUGAUUUUUUGACUACUUAAAGUGUGUGGUUGGGAUUGUUGCGAUCAGUUUUGAACGCUGAUGGUGCUCAUUUCAUGCGGACGAGAUGGUAGUUUUCGAUGUUGUUAGUCGAUUAUGACUGGAUGGGAGGCGCCCGUGGUGAUUGUUUCUGUUCAUUUGAGCACUGAAACGAGCCGAUGAUGUUUGGGUAUCGAUGGGAGCACAUAGGAUGUGUGCUGGUUUGGCAUGCUCGACCGGAGGAGUAUUGUUGAUUGAAGAGGGGGGCGGCGGGGACUAGAGACGACGGGGGAUAUCACGAANNNNNNNNNNGGGUAGAGCAAGGACGCACUUAUCAUUAGGCAUGCCGCCGAAAACUUACAGGAUCCAUUUGCCAUGUGACUAGUCCAAAUUUUUCUAAAUGGGUCUUUUACAUCUGUGUCCCUAACUCGAACCUACUACUCAUAUUUGCCCUUAAUUUUGAAGCAUGCUCAAAUUUACCCCUCUGCCGUUAGUUCACCUUAUAAAAAUGCCCUUCCGUUCCGUUACCGUCCGGUCAAAGGGCUUUGACCAUCUACGGGGCAUUUAUCGGACAUUUUGCCCCUAUCUCCAUGUAUCACUUACAUGUGGGACCCGCUCAACAAAAAAUAAAAAUAAAAAACUCUUUCUCUCACCCCACUACGGAGUGCAACGGAGGGAUUCAAGGAACAGGCGCGAGCGGUGGCACGGUUUCAUCACAGCGCCAUAGUUUUGCUCCCCUCUCUUCUCUGCACGUCUAUGCACCCACGGUAGCAAGGUCCUUCCAGCGAUCCUCUCCAUUUAUUUUUGUUUCCGCGAAGGUUUGUGGGGUGGUUGUGGUGUUUUCUGUUCCCAUGAUUUUUUGACUACUUAAAGUGUGUGGUUGGGAUUGUUGCGAUCAGUUUUGAACGCUGAUGGUGCUCAAUUCAUGCGGACGAGAUGGUAGUUUUCGAUGUUGUUAGUCGAUUAUGACUGGAUGGGAGGCGCCCGUGGUGAUUGUUUUUGUUCAUUUGAGCACUGAAACGAGCCGAUGAUGUUUGGGUAUCGAUGGGAGCACAUAGGAUGUGUGCUGGUUUGGCAUGCUCGACCGGAGGAGUAUUGUUGAUUGAAGAGGGGGGGCGGCGGGGACUAGAGACGACNNNNNNNNNNGAACAUUUUGGGGGGGGGAGGGGGGUGGGUGGGUAGAGCAAGGAGGCACUUAUCAUUAGGCAUGCCGCCGAAAACUUACAGGAUCCAUUUGCCAUGUGACUAGUCCAAAUUUUUCUAAAUGGGUCUUUUACAUCUGUGUCCCUAACUCGAACCUACUACUCGUAUUUGCCCUUAAUUUCGAAGCAUGCUCAAAUUUACCCCUCUGCCGUUAAUUCACCUUAUAAAAAUGCCCUUCCGUUCCGUUACCGUCUGGUCAAAGGGCUUUGACCGUCUACGGGGCAUUUAUCGGACAUUUUGCCCCUGCCUCCAUGUAUCACUUACAUGUGGGACCCGCUCAACAAAAAAUAAAAAUAAAAAAC